rnacentral:rRNA from 1 species
UACGUAGGGUGCGAGCGUUAAUCGGAAUUACUGGGCGUAAAGCGUGCGCAGGCGGUUUUGUAAGACAGGCGUGAAAUCCCCGGGCUCAACCUGGGAACUGCAUUUGUGACUGCAAGGCUGGAGUGCGGCAGAGGGGGAUGGAAUUCCGCGUGUAGCAGUGAAAUGCGUAGAUAUGCGGAGGAACACCGAUGGCGAAGGCAAUCCCCUGGGCCUGCACUGACGCUCAUGCACGAAAGCGUGGGGAGCAAACAGG